rnacentral:rRNA from 1 species
UACAGAGGUCUCAAGCGUUGUUCGGAUUCAUUGGGCGUAAAGGGUGCGUAGGUGGCGCGGUAAGUCGGGUGUGAAAUUUCGGAGCUUAACUCCGAAACUGCAUUCGAUACUGCCGUGCUUGAGGACUGGAGAGGAGACUGGAAUUUACGGUGUAGCAGUGAAAUGCGUAGAGAUCGUAAGGAAGACCAGUGGCGAAGGCGGGUCUCUGGACAGUUCCUGACACUGGAGGCAACGAAGGCCAGGGGAGCAAACGGG